CCUACGGGAGGCAGCAGUGAGGAAUAUUGGUCAAUGGGCGCGAGUCUGAACCAGCCAAGUAGCGUGAAGGAUGACUGCCCUACGGGUUGUAAACUUCUUUUAUAUGGGCAUAAAAUGUUCCACGUGUGCCUUUUUGUAUGUACCUUAUGAAUAAGGAUCGGCUAACUCCGUGCCAGCAGCCGCGGUAAUACGGAGGAUCCGCGCGUUAUCCGGAUUUAUUGGGUUUAAAGGGAGCGUAGGUGGGUUGUUAAGUCAGUUGUGAAAGUUUGCGGCUCAACCGUAAAAUUGCAGUUGAUACUGGCAGUCUUGAGUACAGUAGAGGUAGGCGGAAUUCGUGGUGUAGCGGUGAAAUGCUUAGAUAUCACGAAGAACUCCGAUUGCGAAGGCAGCUUACUAAACUGCCACUGACACUGAUGCUCGAAAGUGUGGGUAUCAAACAGGAUUAGAUACCCUGGUAGUC
rnacentral:rRNA from 1 species